UACGUAGGGUGCGAGCGUUGUCCGGAAUUAUUGGGCGUAAAGGGCUCGUAGGCGGUCUGUCGCGUCGGGAGUGAAAACUCAGGGCUUAACCCUGAGCCUGCUUCCGAUACGGGCAGACUAGAGGUAUGCAGGGGAGAACGGAAUUCCUGGUGUAGCGGUGGAAUGCGCAGAUAUCGAGAGGAACACCUGCGGCGAAGGCGGGUUGCUGGGCUGAUACUGACGCUGAGGCGCGAAAGCUAGGGGAGCGAACGGG
rnacentral:rRNA from 1 species